rnacentral:RNase_P_RNA from 1 species
CAAGUAGAUCGCCUUAUCGCUGUUUCAACUAGUGUGAAAUGGAGGAAAGUCCGAACACCGUAGUGCAACAUAGUGGUUAAUGGCCACCGACCGAGAGGUCAGGAAAAGUGCAACAGAAAGGAUGUACAGGUAAUGCUGUAGUGAAAUCAGGUAAACUCUAUGUGGUGCAAUGCCAUGUAUACCAACGCUUGAGGGCGGCACGUUCGAUUGUUGGAGGGUAGGCAGCUAAAGUGUGCUGGUAACAGUACACUCAGAUAAAUGAUAGGGGCUUUUAUUUAUAGAAGUACAGAAUUCGGCUUAUAGAUUUACUUAAGCA